AGAUUAAGUUAUUAAGGGCGCACGGUGGAUGCCUUGGCACUAGAAGCCGAUGAAGGACGUUACUAACGACGAUAUGCUUUGGGGAGCUGUAAGUAAGCGUUGAUCCAGAGAUUUCCGAAUGGGGAAACCCAGCAUGAGUUAUGUCAUGUUAUCGAUAUGUGAAUACAUAGCAUAUCAGAAGGCAGACCCGGAGAACUGAAACAUCUUAGUACCCGGAGGAAGAGAAAGAAAAAUCGAUUCCCUGAGUAGCGGCGAGCGAAACGGGAAGAGCCCAAACCAACAAGCUUGCUUGUUGGGGUUGUAGGACACUCUAUACGGAGUUACAAAAGUAUAUAUUAGACGAAUCAUCUGGAAAGUUGAAUCAAAGAAGGUAAUAAUCCUGUAGUCGAAAAUAUAUACUCUCUUGAGUGGAUCCUGAGUACGACGGAGCACGUGAAAUUCCGUCGGAAUCUGGGAGGACCAUCUCCUAAGGCUAAAUACUCUCUAGUGACCGAUAGUGAACCAGUACCGUGAGGGAAAGGUGAAAAGUACCCCGGAAGGGGAGUGAAAGAGAACUUGAAACCGUGUGCUUACAAGUAGUCAGAGCCCGUUAAUGGGUGAUGGCGUGCCUUUUGUAGAAUGAACCGGCGAGUUACGAUUUGAUGCAAGGUUAAGCAGCUAAUGUGGAGCCGUAGCGAAAGCGAGUCUGAAUAGGGCGUUUAGUAUUUGGUCGUAGACCCGAAACCAGGUGAUCUACCCUUGGUCAGGUUGAAGUUCAGGUAACACUGAAUGGAGGACCGAACCGACUUACGUUGAAAAGUGAGCGGAUGAACUGAGGGUAGCGGAGAAAUUCCAAUCGAACUUGGAGAUAGCUGGUUCUCUCCGAAAUAGCUUUAGGGCUAGCCUCAAGUGAUGAUUAUUGGAGGUAGAGCACUGUUUGGACGAGGGGCCCUUCUCGGGUUACCGAAUUCAGACAAACUCCGAAUGCCAAUUAAUUUAACUUGGGAGUCAGAACAUGGGUGAUAAGGUCCGUGUUCGAAAGGGAAACAGCCCAGACCACCAGCUAAGGUCCCAAAAUAUAUGUUAAGUGGAAAAGGAUGUGGCGUUGCCCAGACAACUAGGAUGUUGGCUUAGAAGCAGCCAUCAUUUAAAGAGUGCGUAAUAGCUCACUAGUCGAGUGACACUGCGCCGAAAAUGUACCGGGGCUAAACAUAUUACCGAAGCUGUGGAUUGUCCGUAGGACAAUGGUAGGAGAGCGU
rnacentral:rRNA from 1 species